rnacentral:rRNA from 1 species
UACGAAGGGGGCUAGCGUUGCUCGGAAUCACUGGGCGUAAAGCGCACGUAGGCGGCUUUUUAAGUCAGGGGUGAAAUCCUGGAGCUCAACUCCAGAACUGCCUUUGAUACUGAGAAGCUUGAGUCCGGGAGAGGUGAGUGGAACUGCGAGUGUAGAGGUGAAAUUCGUAGAUAUUCGCAAGAACACCAGUGGCGAAGGCGGCUCACUGGCCCGGUACUGACGCUCAAGCGCGAAAGCGUGGGGAGCAAACAGG